AGCAGCACGGUUCCCAGCAUGCAACGGGUCGUUACAUAUUGCCACCGUACAGGAGGUCAAACCGAAUUAACCUGUGGUCCGUUCUGACUCAGCUGUCUUCCUGUUGGCUCAUGCGAUUAUACAUGUGACAGAUACACAUUUUCAGUUCCUCAGGAGAUGGGAACCUACAGCAACAUGCUGAACUGAACACAACAAAAUGUGAGAACAGUGCAGCCGCACCCUGCUGACCCUGCUUACUCGUUCCUCACCCUACUCACCUGCUCCGCACCCUGCUCACCCUGCUCACCCGUUCCUCACCCUACUCACCCGCUCCGCACCCUGCUCAACUGCUCCGCACCCUGCUCAACUGUUCCGCAUUUAGCAAACACCGCAAAAUAGCACAGAAUUACCCUGCCCAACUGUUCCGCAUUUAGCAAACACCGCAAAACAGCGCAGAAUUACCUGCAAAUCCUCUUGCACAGUGGAUCCUUAAGGCUUUUUCACACGCGCAUCCAUGUAGGAUGUGCUGUUUCCAGAUCAGGACCUGGUGGGAUUUCCGGACAUCUUCCCCCACGGCUCUAAAAUGAACAAAAACAACAACUUUCCCGAAUAAAGCACGCAAAAGGUUGCGGCACAUUCCAGUUGCCAACUGCACACAUGGUUGAGCUAGCUAGAAGUCUUGGCUGACCAUAACUGGGAAAAAAGAUUUGCCUUAUGAAAAUUCUAGAACCCUAACCCUUUAUUCUAUUCUUUAUUUAAACAACAAAUAAAAGUUUUGGAAUGAAAACGCACAAAAAUACAACUGAAUUUGAAACAAAAUGUCCCAGGCAUAUCUAGUGUGUCAACUUUAUAUGGAGUUGACACACUAGGUAGCUUAGCAUCAAGUGUCUAGCUGACCUUAACCCUGUCUUCUCUGUUUCUCUUUCCAUGGGGCUCCUGCCCCUUACCUCGCCCUGAGUCCAAAGUCCCCUCCAGCCUCUUUUCCGGCCUGAAUCCACGGGAUCGCUCCAGUCUCUCGCUCCAUGGUCAUUGACUGCUUCAGCCCUGCUCCUCCCCUGCCCAUGCCUUGAUUCUGUCUGGAGCUCCAGAUCCAUCAUCCGGCUCCUCUACACUGCAGUAUUCUCAACUAUACCAUUUGGUCUUCCAUUAUUCCUGUUAGCUUUCACAUCAGCUGUAACCUGUUCAGCCCAUUUUAUUUGCUUUCUACUACUUUACAUCAGGCCGGCCAGUGGAGGAUGGGCUCCCCCUCUAUAGCUGGGUUGCUCUCGAUAUUUCAUCCCAUUGGGGAGUUUUUUCGCACCGCCGUUUGAGGGUUUUCUCCCCUCUGGGAGUUUUUCACCUCAUGUACCUGCUAUUUGGGGGUUCAGGCCUAGUGUUUGCUCUUUUUGCUCAGCCUCUUGCCUUGCUACUCUGUACAGCGCCUUUGUGACAGUUCUCUGUAAAAAGCGCGAUACAAAUAAAACUGAACUGAACUGCAAAUGA